GACCGCUCUGGUGACCUAGUGGUUACAGUAUCUGCCUUGGAUGCAGGAGGUCACAGAUUUGAACACUGACCAAGUCU